rnacentral:rRNA from 1 species
UACGGAGGGGGCUAGCGUUGUUCGGAAUUACUGGGCGUAAAGCGCACGUAGGCGGCUUUGUAAGUUAGAGGUGAAAGCCCAGGGCUUAACCCUGGAAUUGCCUUUAAGACUGCAUCGCUAGAAUCGUGGAGAGGUGAGUGGAAUUCCGAGUGUAGAGGUGAAAUUCGUAGAUAUUCGGAAGAACACCAGUGGCGAAGGCGACUCACUGGACACGUAUUGACGCUGAGGUGCGAAAGCGGUGGGGAGCAAACAGG